GGUGUUUAUGACGUCGAUAUUCGACGUAAUAAACACCAUCAAGUUUGGUGUUAAUGACGUCGAUAUUCGACGUCUUGAACACCAUCAAAUUUGGUGUUUAUGACGUCGAUAUAGGGCGACGUAAACAACAACAAAUUUUGUGUUGAUGACGUCGAUAUUCGACGUCAUAAACACC
rnacentral:miRNA from 1 species